CAGAGUUAUCCAACUCCCAAACCCAUGCGAACUUAUCUCUUUGUUGCCUCGGCGCAAGCUACCCGGGACCCUCGCGCCCCGGGCGGCCCGCCGGCGGACAAACCAAAACUCUUGUUAUCUUAGUUGAUUAUCUGAGUGUCUUAUUUAAUAAGUCA
rnacentral:misc_RNA from 1 species